CGCGGGCGGCGGCCUUGGCGACCCACCCGGCGCGGAUCUCCGGGCCCGGGCUGCGGGCGUGUGCCAGGGGAUCUCCGGCGGCCCUUGGGGAUCAGGCCUAGCGGGGCGGGAAGGCCCACAAGCAGCGCGCCCGGGAGAGCCGGUGUCCGGAUGGGACUCAGGACACGCCGCCGCCAGCUGACUGCGGAAUCCACCCGCACUCGGACACACCUCUGUAUGUUGGAGAGAGCUCUGGAAUGACCUCUUGCAGAGAAAUCCACACCCCAGCAGUCCUGCUGGUGAGGGUGCCUCCCCUCCGGAAUCAGCUGCAUAAAGACGGUGAUGGCAGAACCAGACCUGGCUGUGAAAUGAAAGUAAAAAUGUUAUGGUGAGAAACUGGCCUGGGAAAGGGGCCAGUUCCCCUCCCCUCUCUCAGGCUUUCUCCAGGAAGCCUAAUUGACCUUUGGGGUUGUAGAUAACUUCCCCUGCGGGUCUGACUGAGAAACUGAUGUGACUCCAUUUUAAAAAAUAAAUAAAUAAUAGCAGCUUCUA